UCCCUGGUGGCUCAGAUGGUAAAGAAUCUGCCUGCAACGCAGAAGAGCUGGCUUCAAUCCCUGGCUUGGGAA
rnacentral:tRNA from 1 species